AGAGCGAACGCUGGCGGCGUGCUUAACACAUGCAAGUCGAACGCGCAGCAUUUUGUAGCAAUACAGGAUGUGGGCGCGUGGCGAACGGGUGCGUAACACGUGGGCAACCUUCCCUUCGGUGGGGGAUACCCUCGCGAAAGCGAGACUAAUACCGCAUAACAUUCCCUUGGUUACGACUGAGGGAUUCAAAGCAGCAAUGCGCCGGAAGAGGGGCCCGCGGCCGAUUAGCUAGUUGGUGAGGUAACGGCCCACCAAAGGCGACGACGGGUAG
rnacentral:rRNA from 1 species